rnacentral:lncRNA from 13 species
UUCCCUCCAUCGAUCGCUCUGUCCCUCGUUCCCUUCCUCCUUCCCUCUCUCAUUCCCUCCCCCGUUUGCUGCAUCUCAUUCCCUUGCUCCCUCUCGUUUCCUGACUCCGUCGCUCCUUCUUGUUCGCUCUGUCCCUCGUUCCCUUCCUCCCUCACUCUCCCUCGUACCCUCGCUCGCUCGCACCCUCCGUCGUUCCCUCGCACUCUCCCUCGUUACCUCGCUCGCUCUCUCCCUCGUUCCCUCGCACUCUCCCUCGCUCGCUCUCGUUCCCUCCCUCGCUCGCUCUCGUUCCCUCCCUCGCUCUUGAUUCCUCCCUCGCUCGCUCUCCCUCGUUCCCUUGCUCUCUCUCUCGUUCUCUCUCUCUCUCGUUCUCUCUCCCGUUCCCUCGCUCGCUCUCUCCUGUUCCCUCGCUUUCUCUCUCCCCUUCGCACGCACGCUCUCCUUCGCUCGCUCCCUCUCGUUCCCCCUCGCUCGCUCCCCCCGCUCUCGUUCUCGCUCUCUUGUUCCCCAUCGCUCCCACUCCCUCUUGUUCCCUCACUCCCGCUUUCUCGUUCACUCGCUCCCACUCUCUCUAGUUCCCUCCUUUGCAUUCCCUUGCUCCCUCUCGUUUCAACCUCCCUUGUUCCCUCCCCCUCUCCCUCGUUCCCUCCCUUGCUCACACUCUCGCUCACUCCCUCGUACUCUCCCUCGCUCGUACUCUCCCUCGCUUGCUCGCUCCCUCUCAUUCCCUCCCUCUCGUGCCCUCCCUCGCUUGCUCCAUCCCUCGUUAGCUCCCUCUCUCGUUCCCUCCCUCGCUUGCUCCUUCCUCCAUUUGCUCCAUCUCGUUCCCUUGCUCCCUCUCGUUUCGCUCUGUCCCUCUUUCACUUUCUCCUUCGCUCUGUCCCCCUCCCUCCCUCGCACUCGUUCCCUCGUUCCUUCGCUCGCUCUCCCUCGCUCGCACUCGUUCCCUCCCUCGUUCCUUCGCUCGCUCUCCCUCGUUCCCUUGCACGCACGCUCUCCCUCGCUCGCUCGCUCUCGUUCCCCCUCGUUCGCUCGCUCUCUCUCGUUCCCUCCCUCGCUCUCGAUUCCCCCGCGGUCCCUCUCUCCCUCGUACGCUCGCACUCUCCCUCGUUCCCUCGCUCACACUCGUUCCCUCGCUCGCACUCGUUCCCUCGCUCGCACUCGUUCGUUCCCUCGCUCGCACUCGUUCGUUCCCU